rnacentral:lncRNA from 1 species
UGUCUCUAUUUGAGCAGCAAGGAGGCUCAGAAAAAUGUUAUGAAUGAAAGACCAGAAUUCUUAAUUCUCUAUCUUCUUCCUCCUUCUCUAAAGUUUUUUUCUUCCUCCUUCUCCCUUAUUUUUCUAUCUUCCGUGUGUUACUUACCAUGGUGUCACUGUUCUCAACCUCGAGAGUUAUGGUCUUGCAGGUUAGGGUUUUGACGAAUAUCUACAUCUUUUAUUCUCCCUGACUUUCUUUUUGUAAUCAGCCUUCCCUAAAGAGCUAACAACUCGAAUGGUUGAUUCUUGGCUUUUAUACUUCAAUUUUCUAGGGUUCUUUUUGGAGACGAUGAUGUAAUUGGGCCCUUUCUUAGCACAAAAAGGAAAAGAAAUAUUGGGCUUUAUAAACUUGCUCACCCAAUUUUCAAUCUUAAUUAACUAUUAUACAUGUCAUAUAUGUUGAGAUCUUUUAGGUUUGUAACACUUGUAUAUUGAUGUAUAGGGUUAGCUGAAAGGUUAAAUUAGUUAAUACUAAGUUUGUAUGUUGAUGUGUGGGUUGUUCAUGUAUAUUUAAAAAAAACAUGUUAUAUGUCGAUUGAGUCUUAACUCGAUUGAUAUCGGUAUUGUUGUCAGUGCAAGAGGACGUGGGUUUGAGUGCGG